GUGUUUCGUUUCGCACCUGGACACACGUUUUGCAGUACAAAUCGUCCACUGUGCGCAAUGUCAAUUGCCACGGUAACUUUUGUAUUCCUAAUGGGUACCUGUACAGGUAUGUACGUUGCUCAGCAGUACCGAGUACCGAACGUCAAGUUCUGGCUGGAGGAAACCCGAAGGGCUGUUCUCCGGUUUGAGCGUAACAUGCGCCAAGAGCAGGCGCACAAGUGAGCGUUUCCGAAAGGGACAGUUCGACGAGGGCGCCAGCCUUUCCUCUGCUGCAACUGUGUGUUCGUGCAGUGCUGUUUUUCUCUGAGUGCGAUAGGGUGGCAAGCAAGGCGAACAGCGUUCGUUUCUCAGCAGCACGAUAUCCUCGAGUUUCGUGAGCGACACUGAGUGCGGUCGGAGAGCGCUAAUGCGAAGGUUUAUCGUCGAUAUUGUGGGAAAACUGCAGGCUUUACGUUUCUACCGGAUGUUGCUGCUUCGAUUGCUCGAGCACCUCAUCAUAGACGCUCCGUUCGAUGUGGCGUCUACAACGACCUGGAGACUGGUUGUCACAAAGAGUAUGCAGCUCGACUGGACACUAAUCGAGACGAAGGAUGGAACUUGAUAUCCAUGCCGAGCGACGCCUCAGGCACAGCCUUGUGUGCAAGCACGAGCACGCAUGCAAUGACGCUCCUCCGCAUGAGCAGACGAGCCUAUGUAAGCGACGCUUCGAAAAGCGACAGUAUACAGUGAACCGCGAAGCUCGUCGUCGACCUUUGCUAUUUUUAUUUGUGAUACAGUAGUGGACGCUGUGUGCGGAUAAUGCCGCGGUCGAUCGCUGUUCGGUUUCGUUCAUGGUCUAGCCUGAGUAGAGGCGGCGGCGGCGGCGGCGGCGACUCCGUCCGAUUCACUGGACCGCUUUUCCUGAGGAAGAUAAGCACGAGGGCAUGCCUACCAGCAUCUUGGGUGUGUACGGAGGACUUUUGAAAUAGCUGGUUUCUGUUGAUUCCAGCGGAGUUCUCGUGUCAUGAAUAGUCUCGACGCGUUGCCGACGCUGCAUAGAGAACUUUAUAAACU